GACGAACGCUGGCGGCGUGCCUAAUACAUGCAAGUCGAACGAACUCUGGUAAUGAUUGGUGCUUGCAUCAUGAAUUACAUUUGAGUGAGUGACGAACUGGUGAGUAACACGUGGGAAACCUGCCCAGAAGCGGGGGAUAACACCUGGAAACAGAUGCUAAUACCGCAUAACAACUUGGACCGCAUGGUCCGAGUUUGAAAGAUGGCUUCGGCUAUCACUUUUGGGUGGUCCCGCGGCGUAUUAGCUAGAUGGUGAGGUAACGGCUCACCAUGGCAAGGAUGCGUAGCCGAGCUGAGAGGGGAAUCGGCCAGAUUGGGACUGAGACACGGCACAAACUCCUACGGGAGGCAGCAGUAGGGAAUCUUCCACAAUGGACGUAAGUCUGAUGGAGCAACGCCGCGUGAGUGAAGAAGGGUUUCGGCUCGUAAAACUCUGUUGCUAAAGAAGAACAUUUCUGAGGGUAACUGUUCAGGUAUUGACGGUAUUUAACCAGAAAGCCACGGCUAACUACGUGCCAGCCGCCGCAGUAA
rnacentral:rRNA from 1 species